GGGGAUGAUCGGUUUCGACAUUGCCUGCAAAACUGCGAGAAGCGGGUCGAGGACGCAGGGUUAUCUCGUUAACGAUCCUUGCAAAACAAUAGGUGCCAAUUCCAAGCGCGCCGACUUCGCUCUCGCUGCCUAAGCCAGAGUAGAUAGUCCGUCAGUCCGUGAGUGUGUUCCCGCUCCGGAGCCUGGCGUCAUCUAGGGGACUUGCUGCGUCGUUACGCCAGAGGGCGACGCGGGACUCGAACUCGGGCUGGGCUCGUCGAUCCAAUCGCCGAUGGAAAAGGUCGGAGCCGAGCAGAACGCUUAUAUCGGCUACACCCGUAGAAGGCGCAGAAUUACAGCGAUGGACGGGGGUUCAAUUCCCCCCAUCUCCACCA
rnacentral:tmRNA from 1 species